CUGCCACCCAAGGGGAGAUGUAGAGGAGACAUUCUCUUUCAGAAACUUCCAGGGCUGAAGGAUGGGGCAGAAGGAGGAGGGGAGGAACCCAUCUGGAUCUCUUUAGCCUCUGGAACCUGAAGCACUCAGGAAAGAAGGCCUGGCCCUUUGAAGCUGCCCCUGCCAGGCCCCACAAUGGGCCAGCCCUGCCAGCCCUCCUGCACAGGCCCUGAGGCAUCUUGGCAGCAGCAUCCCCG
rnacentral:lncRNA from 1 species